GACUUUCUCAAAGUCAAGUGCAGAUUGGAGGCUUGUCCCCAGAGCCCUGACCACCUUCAGGAGAAUUCCAGAGAGACAUUAAAAGAUCUGAAGGCACAGACACUGAUGGAAAUGCCUGUCCAAAAGAAGACUCAGGUCAAUUGGCAGCAAAGUUUCUGGCAUCCUCUGCCCACCCACCAGUGCGCCUCCUGUGUGGGCAGAGCGUGGAGGCUGCGGGGGACACCACCCAUCCUGAGCAGAUGAGAAAGCUGAGUCAUGGAGGCUAACUGGAACCGUGCCGAAUUCCAGGCCCCCUCUCCCUGCAG